rnacentral:lncRNA from 11 species
GCCAAUUUGACUCUGGUGUGGUAGGAGUUAUAGACAUGUGAUUGUACUGAGCAUGUGCAGACUCAAGACUCCAUUUUGUAUUCAGUAUCUGUUUGGACUUCAGUGGGGGCAGCCUUGCAUCAGACCUCACUGGAGUUGGAUGCAAGUAUGUGUUUGAUCUUCAAUAAAAGCAGGUUGCUGUUUGGAUUUCAGUAGAAACUUCAAUGAAUACAGUAUGGUUAUGGACUUUGAACAACACAACAGGCACCUUCCGUUUUCCGUGACAAGAUCCAGGGCCAGGAGAAAUCGUUUUAAGUUUCUCUCUGUGUUUGGGAAUAUUGGGUUUGCCUUGGCAGGAAACCUUUGCGAAUACGGUAAUUCCUCAGUUUGGCUUCCAUGUUUACUGAUAGUCUCUGGGGCAGCUUUUCAUCUCACAGGAUGCAACGGCCUGAUUUUGAAAUGACAUCUUUUCAAUAUGUGGAGCCUGGAUUUACCUGAAACAAUACCAUGUCACUUUUGUAUUCUUGUGCUGACCUCUACAAUCUUGAACAAUAGAGAAGAGGCUACAUGGAAGGCAUCCAGGCGCCCUGAUGGCACCAAUUCCCUCUCCAAAAUAUAUUGUAAAAUAGAAUACUAAGUGCCUCCUUGCUGAUAUUAGAGGGUACACAUUUGGUCACACCUUCUUCUUAAACCACUGAUUUAAUUUUUAUGAGGACGUGUACCAUCAGACUUCUGAAUUCACUGGGGUUAAGGAUACAGGACCCUCAUGAAUGUGAAAAAUUGCUCUUUUUUCACCUGAGAGAAUACAGUUCUAAGAAUUUCUAGGUCCUCCAGCACAACUGCACAGUCAACUUCCACUGGAAAGCAACC